GAUGAACGCUGGCGGCGUGCCUAAUACAUGCAAGUCGAGCGAACGGACGAGAAGCUUGCUUUUCUGAUGUUAGCGGCGGACGGGUGAGUAACACGUGGAUAACCUACCUAUAAGACUGGGAUAACUUCGGGACACCGGAGCUAAUACCGGAUAAUAUUUUGAACCGCAUGGUUCAAAAGUGAAAGACGGUCUUGCUGUCACUUAUAGAUGGAUCCGCGCUGCAUUAGCUAGUUGGUAAGGUAACGGCUUACCAAGGCAACGAUGCAUAGCCGACCUGAGAGGGUGAUCGGCCACACUGGAACUGAGACACGGUCCAGACUCCUACGGGAGGCAGCAGUAGGGAAUCUUGCGCAAUGGGCGAAAGCCUGACGGAGCAACGCCGCGUGAGUGAAGAAGGUCUUCGGAUCGUAAAACUCUGUUAUUAGGGAAGAACAUAUGUGUAAGUAACUGUGCACAUCUUGACGGUACCUAAUCAGAAAGCCACGGCUAACUACGUG
rnacentral:rRNA from 1 species